AAAAUGACAAACCCUGGAUUUCCGGCUUCAAUGUUUAACUGUUCGUAUUAUAUGAAUUUUUUUUAUAAUUAAUAUUUUCAUUGUUGUUAUAUGAUAAAACACGAUUAAUACUUUAUGCGUGACUUGUCUUUUCAAUUUUUUUUCAUAAUUUUUUUAAAUAAGACGGACGGUCAUUGGACACGGAAAUCUAUGGUUUCCAGACGA
rfam:Oryza glumipatula chromosome 7, whole genome shotgun sequence.